GGGGGUGUAGCUCAGAUGGUAGAGCGCUCACUUAGCAUGCGAGAGGUAAAGGGAUUGAUACCCUUCUCCAAUA
rnacentral:tRNA from 1 species